GUCAUGGUCCAAAAUAGGGGAGGGGGCGGGGAAGGGCGGGAGCCGCAGGUCUCAGUCUCCGCCUUAAGAGCACCCGCAAGUAUUCCUUUUCGUGGUCUCGUCUCCGCACUUCAAGGCAUGAGCCCUUUCCAAGAACUAAAGAUUGAGAAUACUCAUGUGACAGAAACGGGGGAUCUAGGGGCGCGGAUGCCACUGACCUUCCUAUAAACCUGUGAGGCAAGCGCCUGCAGACCCGAGAGUCGUGCCUUGGAGGAACAUCUAAAAAGAUGGAGGGCGGGGAUAGAAGCGGCCAACCACUCCGACCUCGGCUCCCAGCAGUUUCCAGACCCGCCUUGGCGGCCCCGCCCCUGCUCCGCCCCUUUCCUCCAGGCCCCGCCCCGCCUCCUGCGGCCUGAGCCGUCUCUGCAGCUGCUGUGUUACCCAUCCGUCUCUGCCGGGGUCCCCGGGGAGGAGGAGCUGCCACACCGGAGGAGGAGAGGGUCUCCUGGGACCCCUGCAGAGUAGCAGGGACUCUUGGAGGUCGCUUGAAGACGCUGGCCGGAGGGUAGCCUGCUGCAGGCUGCCAGAAUUUGUUCCUCUUCAGCUGUGGCGCCGGAGGUCCCAAGCCCCCAAACCGUUAGCCUUCCCAAAGGGCUGUGGGACGCCAUACUUCGCUUGGCUCUGCCCCUUUUGCGUGCUAACCCUAACCCUAACCCUUGUCUAGCCAAGGCCUCAUUUAGGACUCGUGUCGGACCCACAGCUCCUCGGGAAGAGAAUGGCCACUUCCUGCUCUGUGACCUUGGAGAUGUCCAUCAGCUGCCUUCCUGGCCCACAGUGUCCUCCACUGGAAUGCUGGGGAGGGGUUCCCCCACCGCCACCCCUAAUCCUUCCUUCAACAGCCCUGGUGCCCGGUCUUCCUUCCUUUGUAUUUUCUUUAUUCAUAUGUUAAAUUCUAGAAAACAAAGGACCCUCCCUUUCUUUAUUUUUGCCCCACACUCCAGACCUCAUCAUCCGGCUGCCACCACCCCAAUUUUAUUUCUCCUUACUCUUCUAUUCCCCUUUCUUACGGUGUGUGAAAAACCUGUGACUGGAAGUUAAUGGGCUUGGGAAGGGUGCUGUUUACCAGGAAUCUCCCAGGAUUCUCUGUUCCUGAUCAAAAUCUCAAAGGAAGUGUGUCAUGACACCUCAACAUACCCUCUCUCCCUCUGGGCAGAAGGGGUCUAGCAAAUUAAAAAUCUCCCUAGUUCACAAAGACCACUGACACCAUUUCAUGGUCCUGUUAAGUGGUGAAAGUGAGAGUCCACAAUCUAGGAACCAGGAAAGCAAAGCUUCAGUGAGAUCAGUCAGCUCAAAGCCUUUGGUGCACCAACCCUUGCUCCUCGCUCCAGAAAUGGAGUGGAGAUGCUGUCUCUCCCCUCCCAGGACCCAAGUCCAGGGCAGAGCAGAAAUCACUCCUUUAUUUAUUUAUUAGAUUUUUAAAAUUUAUUCAUUCGAGACAGAGAGAGAGAGAGAACAUGA